rnacentral:tRNA from 2 species
GCCGCUGUAGCUCAGCUGGUAGAGCACCGCCCUGAAGAGGCGGGUCGCGCAGGUUCGAUCCCUGCUGGCGGCACCA